GAUGAACGCUGGCGGCGUGCCUAAUACAUGCAAGUCGAGCGAACGGACGAGAAUCUUGCUUUUCUUAUGUUAGCGGCGGACGGGUGAGUAACACGUGUAUAACCUACCUAUAAGACUGGGAUCAUUUCGGGAAACCGGAUCUAAUACCGGAUAAUAUUUUGAACCGCAUGGUUCUAUAGUGAAAUACGGUUUUGCUGUCUCUUAUAGAUGUUUCCUCGCUGCAUUAGCUAGUUGGUAAGGUAACGGCUUACCAAGGCAACGAUGCGUAGCCGACCUGACAGGGUGAUCGGCCACACUGGAACUGAGACACGGUCCAGACUCCUACGGGAGGCAGCAGUAGGGAAUCUUGCGCAAUGGGCGAAAGCAUGACGGAGCAACGCCGCGUGAGUGAUGAAGGUCUUCGGAUCGUAAAACUCUGUUAUUAGGGAAGAACAUAUGUGAAAGUAACUGUGCACAUCUUGACGGUAACUAAUCAGAAAGCAACGGCUAACUACGUG
rnacentral:rRNA from 1 species